UGAGCAAAAUGUUAGGAAAGAAACUUUCAUUAUGCUAAAAAACCUAUAUGAACCCUAGAGACACUGAGGUGGGGAGAUGACCACAAUUAGAUAUAAAUGUUAUUCUUAAGACUAUACUUUCCAGAUGAAUCCUCAAAGCUGCCCAUAUGCCCAUCGUGAUGGAGCUUCAACGAAACUUCUCUCCCAUCAAAAUCUGGAUGCUGGAAUAGCCAAUUGGAAAUGCAAUAACACAGAACUGAUAUAAGUGACAGUGACUAAAAAUAUACUAACACGUCCUGCAUUAAGAGUGAUUCUGUUCAAAUUCAAUUACUGAACAAAUCAUAAUUAGUCACCUCAUAGAA
rnacentral:lncRNA from 1 species